UUAAAAAAAAAAAAAGUGUGAUGAAGCAAAAAACCAUCAUUUAUAAGUGCCUGACGUAAAAUGACAACUCUAAUGCAGAUCCCAAUGGAUCAAUGGGCAUUUCGGAUGUGCAUCAAAUUUAUCUAAAAAGGGGUGAAAAUAUGAUCAUAUACAAUUUCCAGAAGAAAAGCGAAAUUGGAAAAAAUUGCAUAAAAUUUUCAAAGAUAUAAGAGAGUUUUGCCCUACCCAAUAUCAAUAGCAGCGUCUUCAGA
rnacentral:misc_RNA from 1 species